rnacentral:rRNA from 1 species
UACAGAGGGGGCAAGCGUUGUUCGGAAUUACUGGGCGUAAAGGGCGCGUAGGCGGCCUUCUAAGUCGAACGUGAAAUCCCCGGGCUCAACCCGGGAACUGCGUCCGAUACUGGAAGGCUUGAAUCCGGGAGAGGGAUGCGGAAUUCCAGGUGUAGCGGUGAAAUGCGCAGAUAUCAGGAGGAACACCGAUGGCGAAGGCAGGUCUCUGGGCCACUACUGACGCUGAGAAGCGAAAGCGUGGGUAGCAAACAGG